GAAGAAGAAAUGAGAAAUAGAGGCGGAAUAGGAGAAAGAUCCAAGGUGUAAUAUUUAGUGCAGACAAUGCAAUACUGGCAGACCUGCAGACCAACCCCGCACCAAAGAGCAACAAAUGUGCCUCAGAAAGUCAGUUCUCCUACGGCGGUGGCAAUUCCAUCCCGAAGCAGCGCACAUGUGCCGCCAUCAAUGACUGCAGUAGCGACGAGAUGAGGAUGAGUUUGUGCAGCUGUGUGGCAUUGAUGAGAGCCGGGAGAAAAAUGUCGGGUGUGAGCCCCUGUGCAUCAACACUCGAGAGUCAUACUAUUGCCAAUGCCGGCCAGGAUACAGACUCGUCAGGAAGUUCAACUAUGAAGGCUCACGCGUGUAGGUAGAAGCAAUAAGAUGAAGAAGAAGGAAAAACAAAGGAGGAGGACGAAAAAGAAAUGGGAAAUAGAGACGGAAUAGGAGAAAGAUCCAAGGUGUAAUAUUUAGGUAAGUUACCCUUGUAAUCUUAACGUUCUUUCUAACUCAUUUGUGUAUAUCUGGGCACACUUAGGGUGUUUUAAGUGUGUUCAUUAGUGUUCCAGCGUGUUUGGGGUGUUAUAAGUGUUUUGGGUACUUUUUCUGUGUUUUCAGUGUGUUUUUUAUUUGGGUAUAAUUUACGUACCUUAAGUGGAGGUAUGUUUGAGUAUUUGAAUGUGUUUUGAGUGUGUUUAGGAACAUUUUGAGGAGUUGUAUGGUGCUUUUAAUGUGUUCUGGGUUAGUGUUGCGUGUUAUUUAAGUGGUAUGGGUGUGUAGUAGUGGUCUUUUGGGUGUGUGGAAGGAUUAUUUCAAUAUGUAUUGG